UCCACGGUAGCUCAAUGGUGAGAGCAUCGCACGCGGAAUGCGAAGACGUACGUGGGUUCUAUCCCCACCUGCGGAG